UACGUAGGGUGCGAGCGUUGUCCGGAAUUAUUGGGCGUAAAGAGCUCGUAGGCGGCUUGUCGCGUCGACCGUGAAAACUUGGGGCUCAACCCCAAGCCUGCGGUCGAUACGGGCAGGCUAGAGUUCGGUAGGGGAGACUGGAAUUCCUGGUGUAGCGGUGAAAUGCGCAGAUAUCAGGAGGAACACCGAUGGCGAAGGCAGCUCGCUGGGACGGUACUGACGCUGAGACGCGAAAGCGUGGGGAGCGAACAGG
rnacentral:rRNA from 1 species